rnacentral:rRNA from 1 species
GGUGCCCUUCGGGGAACAUUGAGACAGGUGGUGCAUGGUUGUCGUCAGCUCGUGUCGUGAGAUGUUGGGUUAAGUCCCGCAACGAGCGCAACCCUUGUCAAUAGUUGCUACGCAAGAGCACUCUAUUGAGACUGCCGUUGAGAAAACGGAGGAAGGUGGGGAUGACGUCAAAUCAUCAUGCCCCUUAUGACCUGGGCUACACACGUACUACAAUGGUCGCUAACAGAGGGAUGCAAUGCCGCGAGGUGGAGCCAACCCCCAAAAGCGAUCUCAGUUCAGAUUGCAGUCUGAAACCCGACUGUAUGAAGAUGGAAUUGCUAGUAAUCGCGGAUCAGCAUGCCGCGGUGAAUACGUUCCCGGGCCUUGUACACACCGCCCGUCACACCAUGAGAGCCGGAAACACCCGAAGUCGUUUGCGUAACCGUAAGGAGCGCGGCGCCGAAGGUGGGUUCGGUAAUUGGGGUGAAGUCGUAACAAGGUAGCCGUAUCGGAAGGUGCGGCU